rnacentral:lncRNA from 10 species
CUCCCCUGUCCCCACACAAGAUGGACAUGGACACAGAAGAACUAGACUUGGCCAGGAAGUAUAAUCAGCACCCAAGAUCCAAAGAGCUUAAGUGUUACAAAAUGAUACUCACCAGAGGGACCCAGACAAGAGUUCCUGUUUUAGUUGGCUUCUCUUCAUUGGAAGAAACAGAUUCACUCAAGUGACUUCAAGAAGAAUAGAGUUUAUUAUGAGGAUGCAGAAUGUCAGGCCUCUGAGCCCAAGCCAAGCCAAGCCAUCGCAUCCCCUGUGACUUGCAUGUACACAUCCAGAUGGCCUGAAGUAACUGAAGACACAAAAGAAGUAAAAAUAGCCUUAACUGAUGACAUUCCACCAUUGUGAUUUGUUUCUGCCCCACCCUAACUGAUCAAUGUACUUUGUAAUCUCCCCCACCCUUAAGAAGGUACUUGGUAAUCAAUCUCCCCCACCCUUAAGAAGGUUCUUUGUAAUUCUCCCCACCCUUGAGAAUGUAUUUUGUGAGAUCCACCCCUGCCUGCAAAACAUUGGUCUUAACUUCACCGCCUAUCCCAAAACCUGUAAGAACUAAUGAUAAUCCACCACCCUUUGCUGACUCUCUUUUCGGACUCAGCCCACCUGCACCCAGGUGAUUAAAAGCUUUUAUUGCUCACACAAAGCCUGUUUGGUGGUCCCUUCACAUGGAUGCGCAUGAAACAGAGAACAUGCAAGAAUGGCAACCAUGCUGUCAAGGGUUCCAACACCUCUCUGGC